UGUUUAAGAAAGAAGACUGGCAAGCUGCCUGCCCUCCCCUGGGAGCAUCAUUCUCCAGGUGUCAUCAAGUCUAAUUUCAUAGUGAGCUGUGACAGCUUAAUGCCUCGGGACUGAACUGCUGAGAAGUUGCAGGCUGAUGGAUGGCUGGAGAAGUGCUGAAACCUGAGGACUUGACCAUGCCAUGUACCCCAGCCCAGGUUAGACUUCCCUGGAUACUAAUGGAGGCAUAUAAACAGAAAACAAUCACAAAGGCUCCUGAUGCUGCAGGGAAACGCACCGGCAGCUGUGUCAGGCCCAGCGACAGCAGCACCUCGGGUAGAUUCUCAUCUGCCAAGAGCC